GAAACGACUGCUAAGACUGGAUAGGAGAUAAGAAGGCAUCUUUUUAUUUUUAAAAGACCUAGCAAUAGGUAUGCUUAGGGAAGAGCUUGCGUCACAUUAGUUAGUUGGUGGGGUAAUGGCCUACCAAGACGAUGAUGUGUAGCCGGGCUGAGAGGUCGAACGGCCACAUUGGGACUGAGACACGGCCCAAACUCCUACGGGAGGCAGCAGUAAGGAAUUUUCGGCAAUGGAGGAAACUCUGACCGAGCAAUGCCGCGUGAACGAUGAAGUAUUUCGGUACGUAAAGUUCUUUUAUUAGGGAAGAAAAGAUGGUGGAAAAACCAUUAUGACGGUACCUAAUGAAUAAGCCCCGGCUAACUAUGUGCCAGCAGCCGCGGUAAUACAUAGGGGGCAAGCGUUAUCCGGAAUUAUUGGGCGUAAAGGGUGCGUAGGCGGUUAAAUAAGUUUAUGGUCUAAGUGCAACGCUCAACGUUGUGAUGCUAUAAAAACUGUUUAGCUAGAGUUGGAUAGAGGCAAGUGGAAUUCCGUGUGUAGUGGUAAAAUGCGUAAAUAUACGGAGGAACACCAGAAGCGAAGGCGGCUUGCUGGGUCUUAACUGACGCUGAGGCACGAAAGCGUGGGGAGCAAACAGGAUUAGAUACCCUGGUAGUCCACGCCCUAAACGAUGAGUACUAAACGUUGGAUAAAACCAGUGUUGAAGUUAACACAUUAAGUACUCCGCCUGAGUAGUACGUACGCAAGUAUGAAACUUAAAGGAAUUGACGGGACUCCGCACAAGCGGUGGAUCAUGUUGUUUAAUUCGAAGGUACCCGAAAAACCUCACCAGGUCUUGACAUGCUUUUGCAAAGCUGUAGAAAUACAGUGGAGGUUAUCAGAAGCACAGGUGGUGCAUGGUUGUCGUCAGCUCGUGUCGUGAGAUGUUGGGUUAAGUCCCGCAACGAGCGCAACCCUUGUUGUUAAUUGCCAUCAUUAAGUUGGGGACUUUAGCAAGACUGCCAAUGAUAAAUUGGAGGAAGGUGGGGACGACGUCAAAUCAUCAUGCCCCUUAUGACCUGGGCUACAAACGUGAUACAAUGGCUGUUACAAAGGGUAGCUAAAGCGUAAGCUUCUGGCGAAUCUCAAAAAAGCAGUCUCAGUUCGGAUUGAAGUCUGCAACUCGACUUCAUGAAGUUGGAAUCGCUAGUAAUCGCGAAUCAGCAUGUCGCGGUGAAUACGUUCUCGGGGUUUGUACACACCGCCCGUCA
rnacentral:rRNA from 2 species